UUCUUGACAAUGUCUGUGAAUUACAUAAAUAAUAAACUCGAGCAUCUGGCUUCGUUAAAACUGGGUGUAGACCUACGAAAACACCUCUAUAUAUCAUCCACAAUCAAAUGGAAAUACUGGCAGAAUAAUCGAGAACGUUAAAAUGGGUUUAAAAGAAUAUUUACCACGUAAAUGUUCUCUUAUUUAUAAUGAAUGUAAAAAGGACAUUCUUGGGGUCAUCAGGCUGUUCCUCAUUUAGGAAGCUACGUCAAUCCAUCUGUUCUGAAUGAUAUUUAAAACUCUGUUAAUAAAGAUGUUGAUUUAAUAAUAACUGAUACAGGAGCAGAUAUCGCAGACCUUGAAUAACAAAAGGAAUUAAAACAAAUCGUUUCAGAAAGAAAAGAUAUUGUUACUACAUAUGGCAUGUUUCCACGAGAUUGGAAUUAUUUAAGGUGGAAACAAAUUCGAUUAUUCUGAUGGAUAGGAUAUCUGUGAGAGAAAGGGUUACAUGCGAUUAUAUCUGUAUUUCUUGUACGGUGACAUUACAGAGAAGGUGAAUAACGGGUCAGGGAAAGACUAAAUAUUAGAGGAAUCGAAUGUUGAUAUUGUUUAUAUAGUCUCAUGUAGGCCCUGAUUGAACCAUUGAUCAAAGACAUUCCAACCGUGACCAUUCUGUAUUUUUCCUAUAAGCAAGGAACCCAAGACUCCAAUAAUCAAGAUGUUCGAUCUUUUAGGAUGUUAAUUUGAGAGAGAUUUGGCUGCUGUUUCUAGCGCGUCGAGUGACUAAUAUACAGGCUACCGCGUUGGCUCGUGGAAUCAGAUGUAACGUGCAUGAGAGAAGACUGCACUGGUUCUGACAUGUGAUGUGUAUAGAACGGGGUAAAGCUGGGUAAAAGAAUUGGCAAGUGAUUCCAAUGGAAGGAACCUGCAAAAUAGGAAGAGACAUGGGAAAAUAUAAGGGAAAAGUGGACGAAGAGCGCUGAUUUCAAGAAAUUGGGAAACCUCCUAAAGGAAAUAAUCGCAACAAGUGACGAGACGAUGGCCGAAAAACAGACUUCAUAUGUGUGCGUGUGUAUAGAUUACGAUCAUAAUGAAAAAACAAAACAGGUUGGUGUACACACAUACAUACUAAAACACACAUAAUGUGUUCAGAAUAUCAAGCUUUAUUUUGUAAUGUAUAUGAAAAGUAUAACAGUAUGUACGUGUGUGCGCCCAACAUUUUUUUUUUCACAUUAAAUUCCGAUAUAAUCGUAUAAUUUAUGCAGUCAGAAUGGUAUUUCAUUAAAAAUACCCAUUUUUUUCAGAAAAUUGUAAGGAAACAAAAUCGGGGAAGAGAGCACACUUGUGUGAUAGAUAGAUAGAUAGAUAGAUGGAUGGACGGACGGACAGAGAUAUGGAGAGAUAGACAAGCAGAUAGAUAGAUAUGGUAGUUCGUUGCAGUUCAAAAUUGACUUCGCUUCAAUUAAUGCUUUCCUUGCCUUCACAUCCAAAGGAUCAGGAGGAUGAAAAUGGUGACCCCUGACCUUCAGUUGAAUUUCUUCCACGUCCUUUUCUUUAUAAUCCAGAAUGCUCACCAAUCUCCCUUUACAUUUCGAUUUAACACAUCGCCAGUACAUGGUAUUCAAGUUGGCUUUAUCUUUUCUAUAAAUAUACUCUCUGUAAACGAUCAUAUCUGCUCCCAACGAACUCUUUAUGAUUUCCAUGACUGGCUGGGUACCCAAAUGUCUUACAAUUUUUAUUAUGUUCAAUAUUCUGAGUACAUGUGAUGGUCUUUACAACACUUAUAAUACACAAACAUGAUAGACAACGGCCACGAUCUUAAGGAAAGACGAUUUUGAGUGGAAGUAAAAAUCUGGUCGAGGUGGAGAGAAAGAAAUCUCAGUUAAAAUAAAUAAACUCAGGUUGUUAUGUCGUUGAAAAAGUACGUUAAAGUCUAGGAAAAUAACUGUAUAUUAAUAAACUACAAAGUGUAAAAAUUCAAUGGAGAACUAACUUCUAUGUUAAGUUUAAAAUCAAAGUUAAAAUACAAUACUAGUAUUUU
rnacentral:lncRNA from 1 species